rnacentral:rRNA from 1 species
UCCGGCCGCCAUGGCGGCCGCGGGAAUUCGAUUGGAAACAGGUGCUAAUACCGUAUAACAAUGACAACCGCAUGGUUGCUAUUUAAAAGAUGGUUCUGCUAUCACUAAGAGAUGGUCCCGCGGUGCAUUAGCUAGUUGGUAAGGUAAUGGCUUACCAAGGCGAUGAUGCAUAGCCGGGUUGAGAGACUGAUCGGCCACAAUGGGACUGAGACACGGCCCAUACUCCUACGGGAGGCAGCAGUAGGGAAUCUUCCACAAUGGGCGAAAGCCUGAUGGAGCAACGCCGCGUGUGUGAUGAAGGGCUUCGGCUCGUAAAACACUGUUGUAAGAGAAGAAUGACAUUGAGAGUAACUGUUCAAUGUGUGACGGUAUCUUACCAGAAAGGAACGGCUAAAUACGUGCCAGCAGCCGCGGUAAUACGAUAAUCACUAGUGAAUUCGCGGCCGCCUGCAGGUCGACCAUAUGGGAGAGCUCCCAACGCGUUGGA